UGCGUCAGCAGCUGCGCGCAGGUUGGGGACUACAGAGAGCAGUUCGCGUGGGUGCUGUCACGCACGCAGGAGCUCGACGCUGACACGCUCACGACCGUGCUCGGAGUGUUCGAGUCUAACGGCAUCGACACGUCGGUGCUGCAGCCUACGCCGCAAGGGGGCGAUUGCGUCUACGCGCCAGUUCCUCCCAAGAUAUAAACGAUGGAAAUACGGCAUAAAAUUCCAUGUUUAAUCAAUAUUGCAUAGGGAUUGAACUCAUUGAAGGAAAAUAUAUGUAACUAUAAUAUGAAUCUGUGUCAAGUAAAUUGAGGAAAUUCG